GUCCCAGGCUUUCAACUCCUCUAAUUGCUGUGCCUCCUCUAGGGGCCCUAGGGAACGUCUGGGCUCUAUCUCUGCCUUCUAGGAGGCUCUACGGGGCUGGGCCUAGUGCUCUCAGCUGACUUGUACCACACUGCCAGUUGUCUCCUCCUGCAUUGGCCACAUAUUGGCCCAGGAGGAUCAAAACCUAGAUAAAGCAGAGAAAAUUAAACUAAAGAAUAAAACCAAAAGAAUCCUUCUACCCAAUUUCAAGAUCUAGCGCUACAGUCAUCAAAAGGGUGUGGUGUUGGUGAAGGGAUAGACAAAUGGAACAGAAGAAAGAUAGAUAAGUGGCACUGGAUCAAGGACCCAGAAAGAGACCUACUACCAAUAUGUCCAAUGGGGUACUGACAAAGAACCUAGAUAAAGCAGAGAAAAUUAAACUAAAGAAUAAAACCAAAAGAAUCCUUCUACCCAAUUUCAAGAUCUAGCGCUACAGUCAUCAAAAGGGUGUGGUGUUGGUGAAGGGAUAGACAAAUGGAACAGAAGAAAGAUAGAUAAGUGGCACUGGAUCAAGGACCCAGAAAGAGACCUACUACCAAUAUGUCCAAUGGGGUACUGACAAAGAACCUAGAUAAAGCAGAGAAAAUUAAACUAAAGAAUAAAACCAAAAGAAUCCUUCUACCCAAUUUCAAGAUCUAGCGCUACAGUCAUCAAAAGGGUGUGGUGUUGGUGAAGGGAUAGACAAAUGGAACAGAAGAAAGAUAGAUAAGUGGCACUGGAUCAAGGACCCAGAAAGAGACCUACUACCAAUAUGUCCAAUGGGGUACUGACAAAGGUAAUAGGCAGUUCAAUGGAGGAGUGACAGGGUUUUGAAUAAAUGGUGCUAGAGCAAGUGGACUUCCAUAGGCA